GAUUAUAUGAUAGGUGGUGCAUGGCCGUUCUUAGUUCGUGGAGUGAUCUGUCUGCUUAAUUGCGUUUCAAAUUUUUAUUUGAGGACCAGGUUUUGGUUUGGGUAGUGGUCCUACGAUGACUGUGAACUGUCAUGUCUUCGGAUGUGCGACUAUCGGUCUAGGAUCGCAUCUCAGCCCCUGGGACUCUUUUGAACGCAACGGACGUGAUUGCAACCCCUUGUUGAGAUUAGAGGAGUCUCGAUAUUCAUUGGCCAAACUUACCGCUUCGAGCUUGCUCGUGCAGUUUUGUUAGCCGGUGGAUAAACUCGGGGGACUGCUGACUAUAACCAUUUCUCAAAACAGAGGAAGGUUGCGGCAAUAACAGGUCUGUGAUGCCCUCAGAUG
rnacentral:rRNA from 1 species